GGCAGGGCUGAGGCUGGGGGUGUGAGAUCCAGGCAGGUCUGAGGCUGGGGGUUUGAGAUCCAGGUGGGUCUGAGGCUGGGGGUUUGAGAUCCAGGCAGGGCCGAGGCUGGG